rnacentral:lncRNA from 1 species
AGCACCUAUGCAGUUGAGCAUGAUGAAGAGAAAAUACACAAUCAUGCUAGAGAUUUGACUUUGAAUUCAUUACAAGAACUCAAGUGAGCUCCUAAUGUGACCGGGGAAACCCACUACUUUUCCAAGUCUAUUGAUGCCAUCUCCUAAUUAUAUUUUUUCCUCUCUCCUCAAAUUUCCAACACUCUCUCCCCGAUCCUCACUCUCGGUUGAUGGCCUGGUUUCCUAUUACCCCGGAAAAAAACAUUAGUAGAUGAGAACAUUCAAAGUUCACACC